rnacentral:lncRNA from 1 species
AUUGAUUUGGACAGUAGUUCCACGGAUAUGAUAAACCAAUUUCCUGGCGAUGGAAAAAAAUCUAUAAAACGUCGAAGUAAAGUAGUAAGAACACCAGAUAAUAAUGUUCAUGAUGUGUGGGCCAUGGUUAGAAAAUUAAACAAUUUACGUUUUAUGCCAACGCCUCCGUUCUCUGAAGAGAGCAUAAUUUCUUUAAAGAAAAAUGGGGCCAAUAAACGGCGAAAUAAUCAAAUGGACACAAAAGUUAUUGAAACACACACUACAGAAGAAUUUACUUAUUUUACGAGCUUAGACGAUAAAUCUGCACAUAACUCACAAUCAAGCUUAGACUGUAUUACGGUUAUUGGCAAACAAGAUGAUUACCAAGAAUUCUGCGAAGAAAAUAAGGCUGUCAACAAUAAAGCUCCACUCACCAUAAAAAAUCAGAAAAAUAUAAAAAAAGGCAAGGCAAAGUCAAUNAUUAAAUAGUUCUAAAAAUAUUCGAAGGGGGAAAGAUAAUGUUGAAAAUUUUCACCCAAAAUAUUCCCAAAAAAAAGUGUUAAACCAAAAUAAUAAAAUUAUACUCACACACGACUUUAGUAAAAACACAGAAUUGGGAUGCCAAAACACUAAAAAAGUCAAGAAAGAAUAUAAUGAAAGUGAUGAUCAAGUUCAUCUUUGUGGAAAGUCAGAUUCUAUCAUUGGUGAUUUCAUAAAAAGUUUUGAUGGCUCGACUAUUACAUUUGAAGAUACAUCCAAUAAAAUUAGUUUUUGUGAGUCACACGGUCAUAUAAAUGGUAUAACAAAAGUUGUGUUAAGUAAAGGGCAGAAUGAGGUCGAAGCAAAAAAAAUAUCUGAACCGAAAAGAAAUACAUAUUUACGUACAUCGAUGCCUAGCGCUAUAUUACGUCCUAAAUCAACUCAAGCCAAUAUAAAGAAACGAUUAGCCAAUAUUCAA